GACGAACGCUGGCGGCGUGCUUAACACAUGCAAGUCGAACGAAGUGGCGAACGGGUGAGUAACGCGUAAUCAACCUGCCCUUCAGAGGGGGACAACAGUUGGAAACGACUGCAAAUACCGCAUACUGAAGGAGGGGAUUGCGUCUGAUUAGCUAGUUGGAGGGGUAACGGCCCACCAAGGCGAUGAUCAGUAGCCGGUCUGGGAGGAUGAACGGCCACAUUGGGGCUGAGACACGGCCCAGACCCCUACGGGAGGCAGCAGUGGGGAAUCUUUCGCAAUGGACGAAAGUCUUACGGAGGAACGCCGCGUGAGUGGUGACGGCCUUCGGGUUGUAAAGCUCUGUUAAUCGGGACGCGGUACCGGAAUAGAAAGCCACGGCUAACUACGUGCCAGCAGCCGCGGUAAUUC
rnacentral:rRNA from 1 species